AAACUUUGUUAGGUGACUCAAUAAGUGACUACUGUGGUGCCAGAACACUGAUAAAGAAGACUAAUGUGAAGUGUUCGUGUUAACUUCUAUUGUUAAGGAUUUAGAAAAUCCUUGUAUUUAGAAAUAAUAAGAAAGCAAGAAGAGGACUAUAUGUCCUUUCAAUGUAGUAAUGAAACAGUAUUCAACAAGCCCACCCCCAGAAUUAUUUAAUCAUUUAAUUCAGUAGGAAAAUUUACCUGUAUUUAACCUGGCUAUUUGCUAUGAAUUUGACUCUAUGUAACCCCAUGGACUGUAGCCCACCAGGCUCCUCUGUCCAUGGGAUUUACCAGGCAAGAAUACUGGAGUGGGUUGCCAUUUCCCUCUCUAAGAUACUGUGCAGUUACAUGUAAAUUUGUAGAUUUUUGUUUGGUAGAGAUGUAAAUAAUUAUGUCUAAUAGGAAAGAUAAUGAUUAUUAUUUCAUUGCCCUGUAAAACAUUAACUUGUUUUAUAUCUAACCUAGCAAUCUUUUCUUUUCCCCUAGAAAUAACCAGUUUGUCAAAUGCUCUUGGAACCAGCUUUACCAUCCUACCUGUUCUUUCAUCAGUUAAAAUAAAAUCAUUGACAAGAGUUCAUUCUAUAUAGUCACAAGGCCUUGUGCAAACCCAGUGAAAUUAAUGGUUUUUCUCAGGAAAAUGAGAGUGCUGGAGAAGGUACACUCACACACACAUUUUGAAUGUCAUUUUUUAGAAAUCACAGAGCCCACUCCCCACAUUAUAAAAAUGUUAAAUUAAGGCUAUGGGAGGUUAGAUAAUAGGUUUAAGAUGGUUCAGGGACAUACUGAAAGUCACAUAGCUGGCACAGCAGGACAUAAAACAACGUUCUCCAAAGUUAGUGGGUUAUUUUUUUGGUUUUGAUUUUUGUUUGUUUUUAUUCACAGAAACCGUUCUCUGGUACAGGUCCCAUCUCAGAACCACUUUUUUCUUACCUGGAAAUGUUAAUACAGAACAAUAUUAUCUUUGUUAACACAUUUGCACUCUGAUUCCUUUGUAAACAGAGUAAAUGUGUCCCUGGAUCCACGAUUUUAAGGUUGGGGCUUUAACUGAAUAGGGCCCUCCCUCCCUGUCUCUGAGGCCAGACACUCUCAUUGGGCAUCGAUAAUAACUCAGCAACGUGAUUGCAGUCUCUAACACGUGCAAAAGGAGUUCUCAUCUGUUGUGUUUGAAGCCAGAGAAUGGAAUAGUGCUGUAACUUUCCUUGGUGGAUUAUUCCUUACUCAACAGCCACUUUGCUUUUGACCUGAAAAAGUGGGCCACAGAGAUCUUACACCAUCAGGCGUCUCUCUUAUUGGGCUGUGAAAGUCUAGCAUAUGGCUAAUUACAAUUUACGCCUCCUUAAGUGCUCG
ensembl:lncRNA